rnacentral:tRNA from 1 species
AGUCCCGAGUAUUUUGGAUUGCAAACCCAAAGAAGUAGACUAACGUCUGCCGGGGCUU